rnacentral:rRNA from 1 species
UUUGGAAAGAGAGUUAAAAAGUACGUGAAAUUGUUGAAAGGGAAGCGCUUGCGACCAGACUUGCCCGCGGGCGAUCAGCCGGUGUUUUCACCGGUGCACUCGCCCGCGGUCAGGCCAGCAUCGGUUUGGGCGGUCGGAUAAAGUCCCCCGGAACGUAGCUCCUCUCGGGGAGUGUUAUAGCCGGGGGUGCAAUGCGACCCGCCCGGACCGAGGACCGCGCUUCGGCUAGGAUGCUGGCGUAAUGGUCGUAAGCGACCCGUCUUGAAACACGGACCAAGGAGUCUAACAUCUAUGCGAGUGUUUGGGUGUCAAACCCAUGCGCGUAAUGAAAGUGAACGGAGGUGGGAACCCUUAAGGGUGCACCAUCGACCGAUCCUGAUGUCUUCGGAAGGAUUUGAGUAAGAGCAUAGCUGUUGGGACCCGAAAGAUGGUGAACUAUGCCUGAAUAGGGUGAAGCCAGAGGAAACUCUGGUGGAGGCUCGCAGCGGUUCUGACGUGCAAAUCGAUCGUCAAAUUUGGGUAUAGGGGCGAAAGACUAAUCGAACCAUCUGUUACUAGAUGGCAUACGGGCUUUCGGGUUUGAAGUAGUCCCCGUGCGCGGGGGCGACAUCGCCGGUCUCCCGGGGACGCCUGUGGGCUACCCGAAGUGAGCUUCGCGCUCAUCCACAGACUAAGUGGCGGUGGCCGCGCCUGGAACGCGGUUAGGAUAUAGC